rnacentral:rRNA from 1 species
GUAGUCUGCAACCCGACUACAUGAAGCUGGAAUCGCUAGUAAUCGCGGAUCAGAAUGCCGCGGUGAAUACGUUCCCGGGUCUUGUACACACCGCCCGUCACACCAUGGGAGUCGGAAAUGCCCGAAGUCUGUGACCUAACCGCAAGGGAGGAGCAGCCGAAGGCAGGUCGGAUGACUGGGGUGAAGUCGUAACAAGGUAUC